UGGUGUAAAAGGCAAUUUGUCAUCUUUUCAUGGUCAUCAGAUAUGACCCAACUGGAUGUUCAGAAACUCCAAAGUCAACGUGGAAACACCAUCAUCUUCUACAAUAAUGAUUCACCAGUAAAACCCAUGGAGUUGGAUCAAUGACAGUGGAUGGAAAU